rnacentral:ncRNA from 1 species
AUCUUCAGGGCAGGGUGAAAUUCCCUACCGGCGGUAAAGCCCGCGACCCGUGCACGCACGGCUGAUCCGGUGGAACUCCGGAGCCGACAGUAUAGUCUGGAUGAAAGAAGAU